GUCAGGCUAGAGUGCAGGAGAGGAAGGUAGAAUUCCCGGUGUAGCGGUGAAAUGCGUAGAGAUCGGGAGGAAUACCAGUGGCGAAGGCGGCCUUCUGGACUGACACUGACACUGAGGUGCGAAAGCGUGGGUAGCAAACAGGAUUAGAUACCCUGGUAGUCCACGCCGUAAACGAUGUCGACCAGCCGUUGGGUGCCUAGAGCACUUUGUGGCGAAGUUAACGCGAUAAGUCGACCGCCUGGGGAGUACGGCCGCAAGGUUAAAACUCAAAUGAAUUGACGGGGGCCCGCACAAGCGGUGGAGCAUGUGGUUUAAUUCGAUGCAACGCGAAGAACCUUACCUACCCUUGACAUCUACAGAAGCCGGAAGAGAUUCUGGUGUGCCUUCGGGAACUGUAAGACAGGUGCUGCAUGGCUGUCGUCAGCUCGUGUUGUGAAAUGUUGGGUUAAGUCCCGUAACGAGCGCAACCCUUGUCCUUAUUUGCCAGCGAGUAAUGUCGGGAACUCUAAGGAGACUGCCGGUGACAAACCGGAGGAAGGUGGGGACGACGUCAAGUCAUCAUGGCCCUUACGGGUAGGGCUACACACGUGCUACAAUGGCCGGUACAAAGGGCUGCGAGCUCGCGAGAGUCAGCGAAUCCCUUAAAGCCGGUCUCAGUCCGGAUCGGAGUCUGCAACUCGACUCCGUGAAGUCGGAAUCGCUAGUAAUCGUGAAUCAGAAUGUCACGGUGAAUACGUUCCCGGGCCUUGUACACACCGCCCGUCACACCAUGGGAGUGGACUGCACCAGAAGUGGUUAGCCUAACGCAAG
rnacentral:rRNA from 1 species